rnacentral:rRNA from 1 species
UACGAAGGGGGCUAGCGUUGCUCGGAAUCACUGGGCGUAAAGCGCGUGUAGGUGGAUUGGUGUGUCAGAUGUGAAAUCCCUGGGCUCAACCCAGGAACUGCACCUGAAACUACCAGUCUUGAGUGGUGGAGAGGGAAGUGGAAUUCCUGGUGUAGAGGUGAAAUUCGUAGAUAUCAGGAGGAACACCAGUGGCGAAGGCGGCUUCCUGGACACCAACUGACGCUGAGACGCGAAAGCGUGGGGAGCAAACAGG